AUUUAUUCUAGUAUAUAAAGUACAAAUGGCUUCCAACCAUAAAGUUUGAUUUUUCAAGAUAAAUA
rnacentral:tRNA from 1 species